GAGGGUGGGGUCACCUAGGCAACCGACAAACGUCUCACGCACCAGCACCCGGGCUGUCCCGGCUCUGCUCCCAGCCUAGCUGUGCAGCCUGGGGGGGGGGGGGGGGGGGUGCUCUCUGACCCUCAGUUUCUCCAUCGGUGAAAUGGCGGUAGUUAGUCCUCCCUAGGGGUUGUGAGAGUGGAGAGCGAGCAGAGUGAAGCUGUCGCUAACAUCAUCCACAACGGCAGAGCGCCAUCCCAACAACGGGGUCUGGAGCCUGACGUCCUGGGUUCGAAACCCCUCCUCUGCCACUCAUCAACCUGCGUGACGGGUUCGUCUGUCUGCGCCUCUGUUUCCCCUUCUGUAAAAGAUGGUACCCUGGUCUCAGAGCUGCUGAGGGGAGUUAAAUGAGCCUGUGGGAAGCUGGGUCGGGCCUAUCGUCAACCGUAAGAGGUGAGCCUCUUCCCUCUGACAAGAUUGAAAUUCUAGAGAAAAUCAGAGAUAGAAGCAUGGUGUCUGUACCAGCCCUGGUGAGUCUGGGGAGGCCCCGAAUCUCCGUCCCAGACCCUGGCCACCUCUUAACGUCCCUCUUUCCCUUUCAGCCUCUCCUUUACCUACAUCCCUCCGCUCCCAGAUCCCCAGUUUACCUCCCUGUGAGAUGGGCUCAAACAGGCCCAUCCUCUUCUCCAUUCUCCCGCAAAACUGCUCCUAAGCCCGACCCUUUCUCCCCAGAUUCUGGUCCAACCCCAGCAGAAUCUGUCCCUAUAACCAGCCAGGCACUGCCUCCCUGGUCUCUGUGCUUCUGCUCUCAGCCCCCAUAGAACCUUCCCUCCAUGUGGCCAGGGUCAGACUCGUCCUGCCUUUCUCCAGAACCCUCUAUGGCUCCCACCUUCCGUGGGGUAAGAGCCAAAGGCCUUCUCAUAGCCCCAGGACCCUGCUGGCCUUGCGGUUCCCACUUCCUUCCAACUGUCGGCAGGGAGGCUGGGGAGAACCCCGGGUCCUGCGGCCUCCAUCCAGCUGCACCCCGGGAUGCUGCCAGAGGCUCUUGGUCUCCUUUGCGAGAGAGAAUUCGAGGACAGACCAGGCAUAACGGCUGAGUGGUUCAAGAAGGAACGUGUAAUUCAAGCGAGCAUACACUCUUGAGAGGUGAGAGCAGGCAGGCUCAAGGAAGAGCUGCUAGGCCUGGGGUUUGGGUCUCUAGCCUUUAUUGACAGUUGUUAACGAGGGGGUGGAAUAUUUAUUUCUUGGGGAGGGGAUUUUGGGGGAGCAGGGCUUUGUACUUUUGUUGUUGUUGUUGUUGUUGUUGUUGUCUUGGGCCUGUCUGGUUUGAUCCGGCUUUUUGUGGCUUUGUUUUGGAGGGCUGCCAGGACAGACCUCUGACUUUCCCCAUAACUGACCGUGACUCACACUUUGCUGGCCUUCAGACAUCCUGUUAAAGCCUAACGAACUGCUUACUCUAACACAACUCUCACUCCACUCAGGCCACAUGGGCCUCUGGGAAACUCCUCCACGGCAGGCACUCUCCUGCCCCAGGGCCUUUGCACAGGCCGUGCCUCUGCCCUGGACGGUCUCCCCCAAGACAUCCGUAUGUCUCCGUCACCUCCUUCAGGUCUCAGCUCGGAGGUCCGCCCACAUGCCCUUCUUUUUCUCUUGCCAUCAGGAGUCUGUGUUUUGUUCACAGCAAUGUCAAGCCAACGUGCUUAAUCAGCGUGCUUAAUCACGUUCUUAAUGAGAGCCAUUUACCAGGCGCUUACUGUGUUGCCAGGGCCUGGGCUACGGGGCUGGGGACAGGGCUGAGGAUGAUGGGGACAUAUCCCUUGGUGGGAUUUAUGGCCUGGGGGCAGGGAGGGAGAUGGAUCGAAUGAAUGGAGUAGGACACUUGGCCAGAUGGGGCAGAGAGAGAGUUUUUCAGAUGAGCACCUUCUGGAAAGGGUGGCAUGGAGACCGAAGCCCUGAGAUAGGAAUGCAUUUGUUUGUUUCUGAGGAGGUGGCGUGGGGAGGUCAUGUGGGGAGGGCAGCAAGGUGGGACUCAUGGGGCCUUUGGGGCCACAGGGAGGGGGGUUGGUCGUCACCUUCAGAGCAGUGGGGCACCCUGGGAGAUCUCAAGGCAGGUGAUCGGAUUUGAGUCAUGUCUCCCAAAGGAAAGAGCAGCUGUGUGUGUCUCACCAGUUCACACAUGGGGAAACUGAGGCUCAGAGGGGUGAAGUCACUUACCCAGCGUCCCCGACUCCCACGUCUCCCACCAGGAGCCCGCAGAUCCCUCCCCUGCCCCCACCCAGUUGCAGAUGGGUAAACCGAAGCAAAAAGGUGCCGUUACUUCCCAAGGUCCCCUGGGAACACAGUCAGCCCUCCUCCACUCCCCUUGCCCCUCCCCACGUCCCCUCACUGGGGGACUUUCUGACAGGGAGGAAACAGCAGCGGCUGGUUUCACAAGUGGGUGGCCAAAGCCUCAGUCCCGUUUCGAUUUGCUCGAUUUGCAAAUAGCGUCUGGCUCCAACCGCCUGAGGCCUGGGGAGGUUUGCUGCCCCACCGGCUGCCUGCUCUGCUCGGGGCUGAUCAACCUGUCUGCUCAGGGGAGGCAGGGCAACCCUGGGCAGAGGGGAGGUCAGGGGUCUGGGGACCGUGUGGGCAGGGGAGCCAGGGGCCUGGGAGUGCACGGAGCCCUCAUCCCCACUGAGCUUUGAUCACUCAUUCAAUCAACAGUCAACAAUGACUUCGUGCUUUGCUGAAUUAGCACAUUUUAUUCUCCUGCGGAGCAUAUAUUAAGUGCUUGCUGUUUAAAAGGCUGUGUACCAGGUAUUAGUUCAUCCCAUCACCCCCAACAACGCUCUAAGGCAAAAUCUGAGCUUCCUGGGGCUGGAACAGAUGACCGUGAACCUGCCACAUUUCAAACAACUUGUUCUCACACAGUCCAGGGGGCCGGAGGCCUGGAACCCAAGUGGUGGCGAGUGACCCUUGUUAAAGAACAAAAAUUGAG